GUACUUGCUUCGGCAGCACAUAUACUAAAAUUGGAACGCUAUAGACUAGAUUAGCAUGGCCCCUGCGCAAAGAUGACAUGCAAAUUCGUGAAGCGUUCCAUAUUAAA
ensembl:snRNA U6 U6 spliceosomal RNA